UGAGGAAUUUUCUGCAAUGGGCGAAAGCCUGACAGAGCAAUACCGCGUGAGGGAUGAAGGCCUAUGGGUUGUAAACCUCUUUUCUCAAGGAGGAAGAUAUGACGUUACUUGAGGAAUAAGCAUCGGCUAACCCUGUGCCAGCAGCCGCGGUAAUACAGGGGAUGCAAGUGUUAUCCGGAAUCAUUGGGCGUAAAGCGUCUGCAGGUUGACUUUUAAGUCUUUUGUUAAAGCUCUGGGCUUAACCUAGAAUAUGCAAAGGAAACUAUUUGUCUUGAGUAUGGUAGAGGUAAAGGGAAUUUCCAGUGGAGCGGUGAAAUGCUUAGAUAUUGGAAAGAACACCAACAGCGAAGGCACUUUACUGGGCCAGUACUGACACUGAGAGACGAAAGCUAGGGGAGCAAACGGGAUUAGAUACCCACGUAGUCCCUGAGCGGGCUGGCAAGGCGCAU
rnacentral:rRNA from 1 species